rnacentral:tRNA from 1 species
GGGGUGGUAGCUCAGUUGGCUAGAGCGUCGGCUUGUCACGCCGAAGGUCGCGGGUUCAAGUCCCGUCCACCUCGCCA